AUGGGGCUAUUAUACGAGAGGGUACAGACUGGGCAGGUAACUAAGCCUGGGAUUCCCAGCAUGCUUUGCUUUGUACCCCCGGGUACAUUAUUGUGCAGGAUAUACCACUGGGGGCAGCUCCUAUGAUACAGAAACUGUGCCGCUGACCUGAUUGGUCACAGACUGGGCAGUACAGUGUUUGGGGAAUAAGGCAUAGAUUCCACUUUUCCCUUUCUAAUGCUAAUUUAAACACAAGUGUGUAAUACAAUAGUGAGUGUUUAAUAGGCUGGGUGGGAUCUUUGGCUGGUAGUGGCUGCCUAACUGAUGGGCCAGAUUGGGCAGUUCCAUUCAUCAGGCCCCUGGGACCCAGAUACAUGGGAGGGGGGUUGUAUAUAGGGGCAGGGUUGUCUUGUUGCACUGAGCCCUACGCACUCCUCAGCUAGGGGUAUUCUCUGUGCAGGGAAGGCACUGAGGCCAUUGUAUUAAAGGGUUAAUGGGCUUCCUGAGCAGAACUGCAGGGAGAACCCCACUGACCAAUUGCGUUGGCCAGUGAGAAGUUUGGAGAGUCGCAGCCGCUUUUCUGUAUUGGUGCCGCCUGUCACUCAGGUCUCUUAAGCGGCCUGUGCCAAGUCUUUCCUGCCCCCAUUGUCCCCGGUGUUAGUGUGGCUGUGUGCGAGGGCUGAAAUCUCUGUGUGAGCACUAACACCUUCCUGCUUGGCUUCUAAUGGACCUUCCCUCUUGUCUCUAACUAGAAUGGGUUUUUCCAUCAGCACGGCGCCCCCACCAGCGACACCAAAGUAAAGUACAACAGCCGCAGCGCCCAGAUGUACCGGGAGAAGGUCAGACAGCUGGCGAAUGCUGCCAUGUCUAAGCCUGGCACUGAUCUCUGGAUCGAUGGGAUGAACUGCGCUCUCGUUCAGCCGGCAGAGAAGAAAGAAUCGGACUUUUUUGCAGAGAUGACCCAGCCUUCCAGCUCCUGGGAGGCAACCCCAGCAUCAGAACCCGCAUCUACCCUGUAACCCCUGUAACAAGAACUAUACGCUCCCCGGAACCUGCUGAUUCUGCAAAUGCAGAGAGUGGGCCCAGUGUGGACAAUCUAAACACAUCCCCAAAAGCUGCCGUGGGUGGGCAUCUCAGGAAGAUCCUCUCGUUUGGCAACCUCAACAAACGGCAGAUCUUACCGUGAAUGGCCACCUAAAGUCCAGGUAUGUUCUUCUACAGAUCUAAUCUACUUCUUAGUGGGAUCUUCUCCAGCUUUUACCUACUGCCAGAUAUAUUGUUCUCUUUAUUGGUUUGAUUCAAAAUUCUGGGAAUCUGGCCUGAAAUUGGCCAGAUAUCGAUUGGGCAGGUUAAAAAAAUUUAGUCGGAUCGGGGACCACAUCGGCUCGUUGAUGCGGUCCCCAAACCGACUUUUCCUAUACCCGUCGUUAUAAUUCGAUCGUUUGGCCCCAGGGCUAAACAACCGAAUUAGCCUGGAUUCUCCCGAUAUCCCCCACCCGUAGCCAGCGGAUCUGAACGUGUAUGGGCACCUUAAGUCUACAAUGUCCCCCAAACCCAAAGAAAAAAAGUUAUAAAAAGGAAAAGAAAAAGGUACAUUGUCGCAGCUGUAAGGGGGUAACCCCUGGGCUGUUGUGGGGGGGUUAUAGGAGAUUUCAUUUAAGGCAGCCUGUGGGGUUUGAGCAGAGCCGGGCUCAUUCCCUGGGGUUGGAAGUUCUGAGCUAUUCAAGUAUUAAAGGUUAUGACAUGUUAUGUGCUGUUCCAAAUAAAGCGGCUGCGGCCUUUCCCCACCAA